rnacentral:rRNA from 1 species
AACGAACGCUGGCGGCAGGCUUAACACAUGCAAGUCGAGCGCGUAGCAAUACGAGCGGCAGACGGGUGAGUAACGCGUGGGAAUCUACCCAACCCUACGGAAUAACGCAUGGAAACGUGUGCUAAUACCGUAUACGCCCUUCGGGGAAGAUUUAUCGGGAUGGAUGAGCCCGCGUUGGAUUAGCUAGUUGGUGGGGUAAGGCCUACCAAGGCGACGAUCCAUAGCUGGUCUGAGAGGAUGAUCAGCCACAUUGGGACUGAGACACGGCCCAAACUCCUACGGGAGGCAGCAGUGGGGAAUAUUGGACAAUGGGCGCAAGCCUGAUCCAGCCAUGCCGCGUGAGUGAUGAAGGCCCUAGGGUUGUAAAGCUCUUUGUCCGGGAAGAUAAUGACUGUACCGGAAGAAUAAGCCCCGGCUAACUUCGUGCCAGCAGCCGCGGUAAAGUGACUACUG